GAUCAGGAUGAACGCUGGCGGCGUGCUUAACACAUGCAAGUCGAACGAACCUUCGGGUUAGUGGCGGACCUUUGAGUAACGCGUGGGAAUCUGCCCUCAGGAGGGGGAUAACGGUUGGAAACGACCGCUAAUACCCCAUAUGCCGAGAGGUGAAAUGAAUUUCGCCUGAGGAUGAGCCCGCGUCUGAUUAGCUUGUUGGUGAGGUAAUGGCUCACCAAGGCAUCGAUCAGUAGCUGGUCUGAGAGGAUGAUCAGCCACACUGGGACUGAGACACGGCCCAGACUCCUACGGGAUUUUUUUUUGGGGAAUUUUCCGCAAUGGGCGAAAGCCUGACGGAGCAACGCCGCGUGAGGGACGAAGGCCUCUGGGCUGUAAACCUCUUUUCUCAAGGAAGAAGAUAUGACGGUACUUGAGGAAUAAGCCACGGCUAAUUCCGUG
rnacentral:rRNA from 1 species